rnacentral:SRP_RNA from 1 species
GGGUUCACCGUGGCCGCGGCGCACCGCGUGGUGGGAGGCAACCACGCCGAGCGCAAGUGGGCUCGGAC